GUCGACAGGGAGAUAAAUCACU
rnacentral:miRNA from 1 species